AGUCGGAAGGCGAUAUUCCAAUACAUUUCCAGUUGCAGUUGUGAGAAACAGUGAAUAUGCAUUUUCAUUUUGAUUGUCCUGACCAACACAUGUGAUGGAUGUUAGAGAAAGAUCCCUUGAACUUCCAUGUUAUGUUAUUGAGAUGCACGGCAUUGGCAAUGGAUCGAGUCCAAAGAAAUCAAAAGUACCUUACUCAAGAGAAAUAGAGAUGAAGAUUGAGCUCCAUUCAGUCCAUGUAAAGUGCAGCCUGUGGAGGGUCUCAACAAGGACAACACCAGAUCCAAGUUCAGACACGAAAGGAAAAAUUCAGCUUUUGCACAACACUCCAAAUCAGUGAUUCAAGACAGUUCACCUAAUAGUGAAAACUACUUCAGGUCUAAAUGCAGCAGCAUCAGCAAUAGCUGCAACAUCUGCACCAGCCGGUCUGCCAUGAUUCUUCCACCUAAACGUCCAAAAAUAUAUUCUCCUGAUUGUGGGCGAUGGGGAGCAAAAUCAAGGCCUUGUUAGCUGACAAGUUUCUGCAGUUGCAUAAUUCAUGUGUUUUUCCACCAGAUAAAUUUUAUUGACAACAGAAAGAAGAGCACAAACUCAAAGUGCUUUUACUCACUUCUUCUCAGGAAACAAGAUCAUAAGGCAGUUCCACUUCAACCCAACUCUUUGAUUGCUCUUCAAACUCCCAAAACCUGUUGGUUUUCUGCUUGAAUUGUCGAUCGGCUUGCCUCACAUACUCAUGCACCAGCCAAGAAUCAGAACCAGAAACAGAAACAAUCAGAUGCCACAGAGAAAGAAUGAUGGAGAUGAUGAUGAAGAAUAAGGGGCAGAACUUGAACAUAGUUUUCGGAGAAGCAGGCAAUAGGACAGACCAUGCAGACAUCAUACAUAGGACUAAGAUUGGCAGAUAUAGUACUGGAGGACAUCAUGCUUGGUCUCUGUACCUGAUGGAGCCAUAUGGGCCAUAGCAGAAAAGACCUCACUGCAGCCCCUCAAAGGACAUCAGCUUACGAUGGAGGAGGUAAAUCACUAGUCACCCGGGUCUUCAUCACCUUUGAUCGGUCAAAGUCCCCAGUAAGAUUUGAAUCCUCACUCUCCGUUAGAGUAAACCUUUAAAGUGAUUGGUCGAACUAACUGAGCUAGCCUUUUGUAGGGCCUGUAAACUGCUUAUAAUGUGCUGGUUGGUUUUCUUACCUGCCAGAUGACUUCUAAUUAAUGCCUAUUUACCCCUACUUAUAUAUAUAUGUUUUCACCCGCAGACCAAAUUCUAAUACGUUUAUGCAACAUGAACAUAGGACCGCCACUCUGAACUUAAAAGCCAGCAGAGGGUUGGUCUUGGGU